AGAGAGAGACAUGCGCGCAUAUCAAUAAGCGGAGGAAAAGAAACUAACUAGGAUUCCCUCAGUAACGGCGAGUGAAACGGGAAGAGCUCAAAUUUGAAAUCUUCAAGGUUCUACCUUGACGAAUUGUAGUUUAAAGAAGUGUUUUCUGUUGAAGUUUUGGUAAAAGUUCUUUGGAAUAGGACAUCAUAGAGGGUGAGAAUCCCGUAUUUGACCAUUAUUUUCCAGCUUUGUGAUACACUUUCAAAGAGUCGGAUUGUUUGGGAAUGCAGUCCAAAAUGGGUGGUAAAUUUCAUCUAAAGCUAAAUAUUGGCGAGAGACCGAUAGCGAACAAGUACCGUGAGGGAAAGAUGAAAAGAACUUUGAAAAGAGAGUUAAACAGUACGUGAAAUUGUCAAAAGGGAAGCGUUUGACACCAGUGUUGUUUUCUCGAAAAUCAAUUAAAAAAGGCAGGAUUUUGUGUUGUAUUGACUUUAUCAGCUUUCUGCACUCUUUUCUUGUCUUUUUUAAUGCACUUCUCGUUUAACAAGUCAACAUCAAUUUCUUUUGUUGUAAAAGGGUCAUUGGAAGGUGGCUUUCUUUUCGGAGAAAGUGUUUAUAGCCUUUGGCCUCUGCAAUCGGAGAGAUUGAGGUCUGCAGCGUAGAUCCUUCGGGGUUAGAUACAUUUGUGCUAAGUUAUAGCCUUUCAUAGACAACUUGUUGACUAUGAUCAGUCAUGUAGCUUACUCGCUUAUGCUAUUUUACCUACGCUUAGGAUGUUGAAGUCAUCGUAUCGCGC
rnacentral:rRNA from 1 species